AGCGAACGCUGGCGGCAGGCUUAACACAUGCAAGUCGAACGGGCGUAGCAAUACGUCAGUGGCAGACGGGUGAGUAACGCGUGGGAACGUACCUUUUGGUUCGGAACAACCCAGGGAAACUUGGGCUAAUACCGGAUAAGCCCUUACGGGGAAAGAUUUAUCGCCGAAAGAUCGGCCCGCGUCUGAUUAGCUAGUUGGUGAGGUAACGGCUCACCAAGGCGACGAUCAGUAGCUGGUCUGAGAGGAUGAUCAGCCACAUUGGGACUGAGACACGGCCCAAACUCCUACGGGAGGCAGCAGUGGGGAAUAUUGGACAAUGGGCGCAAGCCUGAUCCAGCCAUGCCGCGUGGGUGAUGAAGGCCCUAGGGUUGUAAAGCUCUUUUGUGCGGGAAGAUAAUGACGGUACCGCAAGAAAUAAGCCCCGGCUAACUUCGUGCCAGCCGCCGCAGUAAG
rnacentral:rRNA from 1 species